CCACCAAAAAAGUACGAAAAACAGUCAGGCGU
rnacentral:piRNA from 1 species